rnacentral:hammerhead_ribozyme from 1 species
AUGCGAAACAGGGUGGCCAUUCCGCCCUGUCUACCCGGCGUGGUGGCCGGGUACUGAUGAGCAGCCGACC